rnacentral:rRNA from 1 species
UACGUAGGGUGCGAGCGUUAAUCGGAAUUACUGGGCGUAAAGCGUGCGCAGGCGGUGAUGUAAGACAGAUGUGAAAGCCCCGGGCUUAACCUGGGAAUGGCAUUUGGGACUGCAAGGCUUGAGUGCGGCAGAGGAGACUGGAAUUCCUGGUGUAGCAGUGAAAUGCGUAGAUAUCAGGAGGAAUACCGAUGGCGAAGGCAGGUCUCUGGGCUGACACUGACGCUCAUGCACGAAAGCGUGGGGAGCAAACAGG